rnacentral:rRNA from 1 species
GACGAACGCUGGCGGCGUGCUUAACACAUGCAAGUCGAACGGAAAGGCCCUGCUUUUGUGGGGUGCUCGAGUGGCGAACGGGUGAGUAACACGUGAGUAACCUGCCCUUGACUUUGUGAUAACUUCAGGAAACUGGGGCUAAUACCGGAUAGGAGCUCCUGCUGCAUGGUGGGGGUUGGAAAGUUUCGGCGGUUGGGGAUGGACUCGCGGCUUAUCAGCUUGUUGGUGGGGUAGUGGCUUACCAAGGCUUUGACGGGUAGCCGGCCUGAGAGGGUGACCGGCCACAUUGGGACUGCGAGAGGGCGCAGACUGCUACGGGAGGCAGUAGUGGGGAAUAUUGUACAAUGGGCGGAAGCCUGAUGCAGCAACGCCGCGUGCGGGAUGACGGCCUUCGGGUUGUAAACCGCUUUAGCCUGUGACGAAGCGUGAGUGACGGUAAUGGGUAAAGAAGCACCGGCUAACUACGUG